GGUCAGUAAAUAUUAAUAAUAAUCCUUUUGAUGGUCUUUUUUCAUGUUGCUAAGGACGGCAGUUAACUGGAAACAUCCAUUACUAUAAAUAUUCAAUAAUAAUGUAAUGCAAGUAUAAGUAUGUUUUUUUUAAUUUUAUUUUUAACAAUAAAAAAAGUAUAACAAUGGAGUUGUUUUAAAAUAACAAUAACUAUAAAAUACCAUUUUUCUCAGGAAAGUUACAACUAUCAGUAAUCAUUUCUUUUAAUUUUUUGCGAACCAUUUUUUGAUCAUCGGCAGUACAUUCUAAAAUAAUUCCCUGAAAUCUAUAAUCAACAACUGUUCCUUCAUCUUCAGCACAUGCAUUUAAAUAGGAUUUGGCCGUUUCAAUGGCUGAUGGUCUUCCUGAUUUCAACUGUGCUUUUAAAUUUUGUAAAAUUUCAUUUAUUUUUUGAAGAGCGUUUUCCUGAAGGUCAUUUCUUGGAGUUGUUAUACUGACUUCAAUUGUUAAACAUCUACAGAUAAGUCUUUCUGCAUUUGCCUCUAUUUCUUCUUUUUCAUCUGAAAAAAAUUAUCAGUUUGAAUACAAGAAAUAUAUUGAACUAUACAACUCUGAUAUCACAAGAUGGU
rnacentral:lncRNA from 1 species